rnacentral:lncRNA from 1 species
GCCCAGAAAAGAUUUCCCACUGAAACACCCCCAAGCUAACAGAGUUGGAGGGGGCUGGGGCCAAGGACAGCAGAAGCUUGUACACCGUUAGUUAACCUUUCAUGGAGGAUUCGGUCAAAGAAUAUGGUUGUUUAGGCCAGAUGUAUUGCGUCGUGAAAAUAAAUAUUUAUUGUAACAAUUAUACCACUUUAAAUUUAAUAUUUUUUUUUUUACAGCCAAGAUGAGCACCAACAUC